AGCCGGGGUGGUAGCGGUACCUUGAACCAACAAUCCGCUAUAGUUGGGGUGAUGUCUUGUAGAGGAUUUUCGGCGGUAGAGCCGCCCUUCAUAAGUGGCGUUGAUGCCUGGGUCUCGCGCAACAGAACUCUGUGAACCGGGUCAGGAUGGGAACAUAGCAGCCCUAAGCGGAACCUUCUGUGUGCCGCGAGGGUGCCUGGGCUGAGUUAACUGUGGAGGUAACGUCUAUUGUCGGGAUUCGAAGC
rnacentral:SRP_RNA from 1 species